AACGAACGCUGGCGGCAGGCUUAACACAUGCAAGUCGAACGCUCCGCAAGGAGAGUGGCAGACGGGUGAGUAACGCGUGGGAACGUACCUUUCAGUUCGGAAUAACUCAGGGAAACUUGUGCUAAUACCGGAUACGCUCGUAAGAGGAAAGAUUUAUCGCUGAAAGAUCGGCCCGCGUUGGAUUAGCUAGUUGGUGGGGUAAUGGCCUACCAAGGCGACGAUCCAUAGCUGGUCUGAGAGGAUGAUCAGCCACACUGGGACUGAGACACGGCCCAGACUCCUACGGGAGGCAGCAGUGGGGAAUAUUGGACAAUGGGCGAAAGCCUGAUCCAGCCAUGCCGCGUGAGUGAUGAAGGCCCUAGGGUUGUAAAGCUCUUUCACCGAUGAAGAUAAUGACGGUAGUCGGAGAAGAGGCCCCGGCUAACUUCGUGCCAGCCGCCGCCGUAA
rnacentral:rRNA from 1 species